CCCCUCUCAGGACUGCAACUGGAGAGUUUCCAGUACUCUACCAGUCUCGGCUACAAGAGGGAGAGUCGAGCAGGGGCAUACCCAUUCCAUUCCUAGCUUGGGCAGUGGCUAGCGAGUGGAAGGCAAUCGGCUAUAAGC